rnacentral:rRNA from 1 species
GAUGAACGCUGGCGGCGUGCUUAACACAUGCAAGUCGAACGAAGCUGUUGUUUGGAGACCUUCGGGUGGAAGAAUAACAGACUGAGUGGCGGACGGGUGAGUAACGCGUGGGUAACCUACCUUGCACAGGGGGACAACAGUUGGAAACGACUGCUAAUACCGCAUAAGACCACAGUACCGCAUGGUACGGGGGUAAAAACUGAGGUGGUGCAAGAUGGACCCGCGUCUGAUUAGCUAGUUGGUGGGGUAAAGGCCUACCAAGGCGACGAUCAGUAGCCGACCUGAGAGGGUGAUCGGCCACAUUGGGACUGAGACACGGCCCAAACUCCUACGGGAGGCAGCAGUGGGGAAUAUUGGACAAUGGGGGGAACCCUGAUCCAGCGACGCCGCGUGAGUGAAGAAGUAUUUCGGUAUGUAAAGCUCUAUCAU